rnacentral:rRNA from 1 species
CUACGGGCGGCAGCAGGCGAGAAAACUUUGCAAUGUGCGAAAGCACGACAAGGUUAAUCCGAGUGGUUUGUGCUAAACGAACCUUUUGACAGUCCUAGAAACACUGUUGAAUAAGGGGUGGGCAAGUUCUGGUGUCAGCCGCCGCGGUAAAACCAGCACCUCAAGUGGUCAGGAUGAUUAUUGGGCCUAAAGCAUCCGUAGCCGGCUCUGUAAGUUUUCGGUUAAAUCUGUACGCUCAGCGUACAGGCUGCCGGGAAUACUGCAGAGCUAGGGAGUGGGAGAGGUAGACGGUACUCGGUAGGAAGGGGUAAAAUCCUUUGAUCUAUUGAUGACCACCUGUGGCGAAGGCGGUCUACCAGAACACGUCCGACGGUGAGGGAUGAAAGCUGGGGGAGCAAACCGGAUUAGAUACCCCCGUAGUC